ACCUGCUUACUUAAGCUCUGUACUAAAAUUGCAGAAGCUAGUAUCAUGUCUUAGUAUUUGUAAUAAAGCUAGCAGAGUAAACACAAGAAGAAAAACAAGUAUGCCAGGUAGUAGAAAAACUGAGAUAAAUGUCUUUCUUGAGUUCAGGGUACUUUGUUCUAAGAUUUGGUAAGAUAAUA
ensembl:snoRNA